CGGGGGCGCGAGUGCCCGUUCGUGAGCGUGCGCGUUCUCGCCGCCGCCGGUGCCGCUUCCGCCGUCCUCUGCCGCUGCUGCCGCUGUCGCCGCCCCGGAUCCUCAGGCGGAGCUGUGGGACGGCCGGCUGCUCAGCAGCACCGCGGUAGCGAGAACGGAACCGCGGAACCGGUGGACAGGCGGGCGGGCCGACAGAUUAAUCUAACAUGGCUGACCAGAGGCAGCGCUCACUCUCUACCUCCGGGGAAUCAUUAUAUCAUGUUCUUGGGCUAGACAAGAAUGCAACCUCGGAUGACAUUAAAAAGUCCUACCGGAAGCUGGCCCUGAAAUACCACCCCGACAAGAAUCCUGAUAACCCAGAGGCUGCAGACAAGUUUAAGGAGAUUAACAACGCCCACGCCAUCCUGACAGAUGCCACGAAAAGAAACAUAUAUGACAAGUACGGCUCGCUGGGGCUCUAUGUGGCCGAGCAAUUUGGGGAAGAGAACGUCAACACCUACUUCGUACUCUCCAGCUGGUGGGCCAAGGCCCUGUUUGUUGUCUGUGGCCUCCUCACCUGCUGCUACUGCUGCUGCUGUUUGUGCUGUUGCUUUAACUGCUGCUGUGGGAAAUGCAAGCCCAAGGCACCUGAGGGUGAAGAGACGGAGUUCUAUGUAUCACCUGAAGACCUGGAGGCCCAGCUGCAGUCUGAUGAGAGGGGAGGGCACUGACACUGUGCCGAGAGUGUUUGUGGUGGCAUCUGGGACUGUUGAGGUGUGAACGUGGACACUUGAGAGGCUACAGACACACCGAUUGUCAUACAGCCAGCAUCCGCCACAGAGACCACCCAGCUGACGGCUGACUCCCACCCCAGCUACCACACCGACGGGUUCAACUAAAUUCAGGAGAGGCUGUGAUUAGAGGAUGAAUCAGCACCUGGCCACUGCAACCUUAGAAUCAUGAACUGUAGUCACUGAGAUGGGGAGGCAACCGUCAACCUGACCUGCUGUGGCUUGUCAGGGCCCCUCCCACCUCCUCUAAGCCCACCCAUCUGUCAAUCCUUGAUACACGAAGUGCGUAGCAUGCAGUAUUUAAAGCAGUGUAGCUACGGUCUUCUUCUGUUUUACCCUUUUGUUUAAUAGCAUGUAUGGGUUAUGUUCAGUGUCUGUGUUGUGGAUGUGCCGCAGCUGGGCUGAAUUAACUGGAUGGUAGUGCUGUCUUGGGUUUUCAGCCAAGUGGGUCCAGUGAGGUUCAGCUGUCUCCUUGUGCUUACAGGAGUCAGGUAGGCACCUGGAGCUACAUCUCCAUGUUGGCCUCUGUGUCCUGUGACAUGGUCUAGUUCAUGGCUCUGAUCGCAUCCUCAAGGCUGCAGACAGGGUUCUGAUUUCACCUGCGAAGGAGGGAGCUGGGCCCCAUCCUCCCAGGCACCACCAGCAUCAGUGUUCGUGUUGGGAAGCUUUCAUGGGUUCCUGUUAGAUCUGCUGUGGAGAGUGCAGGUAUGCCCUUCUGAAAGGGAGAGCACACUCUGUAGUGUCUCUGUCUUGGGUCUGCUGGCCUUGUGGACUGAAAUCCUGUCAUUGGAGGCAGGUCCCUUGCUGGUGUGUGGGAAAUCAUUUGUCUCUGUUCUGCACCUUUCCAGGUCAAAAGCUGGAUUGACGGGGCCACAGCCUCCUUUCCUCAUUCCUGGGUCAUCUUCCACAUUCCUCAAGCCAACCUUGUUCAUUUUUAUUUUUUAUUUUUUUGGGGGACUUUAAAAACCACAAAUGGUAGCACUUGCCACUUAGCCAUAGUCAGAAAGUCUUUGAGUCCAGUUGUGGGUGGCAUGUAGCUGCUUAUAAAGAGUCCUCCUGUGCUUGCCAGAGCUCCAUCUGUCGUCAUCCAUGCCUCUGGCAGAGCUGGAGUGCUGGGUUCCUGGUGCCCCUGACUCGGAAGGGUUGACUUUUAGGGAAGCUUUGGUGACAGUUACUGGACCUGGGAUGCCAGCUGCAAGCCACAGAAUUACUUUGUGAACUUCUCUCCAGUCAGUAUUCCAGUCUUAGUCACAGGUACCAUGGUGGGCAGAGAUGAAAAAUGUGGUUACCAGGGAUUUCGAACCACCUUACCCUUUUAGAGUUAGCUGGAUUAGCUGUGCCAGACUUCAGUGAGCCAGGUUCCUCCAGAACCUUCUGCUGGCUGCUACUGACCGUCCGCAUUUCCAGUACAGAGGAAGAAGGAGAAGGCUCAUGUGGUAGCUCAGACAAACCACCAUGUGUUUCCAAAACCACCAUCCACCUCCUGGCCCCUGCUCACCAGGGCCUUCAGGGAUCAGAUCAGGUUGACAGGAAGCUGCAAGAAGAGGUUGCAUUGUGAGUGCAAACUUGGCAGUUAUUGAGGGGCCUGUCCAGGUCCUGGGAGACAUUGAUGCCAGGGUUCCCAGCUGACCCUACAGGAGAAUUACAUGAGCCAGAAGCUGGCUUCAAAGUCCUACUAUGGGUUUGUAUGUUUUAUUCUUUAUAGGAUUUUAGGGCUAUUCAUUAUCAUACUGAGUUAGAAAUAAUUUGUAAACAUCAGACCUAUGGCUACACGUAGUGGGACUUGCCUGUAAUCCCAGCACUAGGGAGGUAGAAAGACCUUGAGUUGCAGGCCAGUCUGGGCUUUAUACAGUAAGAUCCCUACUCAAACAAAUCUAGUAGAAGAAUGAGAAAUUAGCGGGGUAGUGGUGGCGCACGCCUCUAAUCCCAGCACUCCAGAAGCAGAGGCAGGCGGAUCUCUGAGUUCUAGUACAGCUAGGGCUGUUACACAGAGAAACCCUGUCUCAAAAAAAAAAAAAAAAAAAGAAUGAGAAAUUCAUUGCUUGGUCUAUUUUGGAACAAAGGAAGAAGAGGCCACUGGACAAUCUGGGGUGCUGGUCCCAUCACCCUCAUGUUGGUGCCCUUUCACCGUGAUGGCCAGGAACCAGGUUAUGAGUAGAAAGCUGCAGACUGGUAGCACGUCCUCCUGCCUGCGGCUCUGUGGCCCCUUUCUCUUCUAUCCCAGUGAGGGAGGUGCUGUUGGGUGAGAGCGCAGAGGUCAAACCUAGUAUCUUUUUGAAUUUGUAAAGCUAAGUAAAUCAUGUUGAACUUAAAACCAUCAAUAUGUACAACAGUUUGAAGGUGGUAAUAGUGAUUGCCAAGGCCACUGAACUCCCUGACCUAUCCCUGAACGCAGACUCCCUUGCUGGGUUUUGCUGAGUUGAUCUAAAGUCUCCUUGAUUUCAUUUGCCCUGACCUAAGCAUAACUGGUGAGUCUUAGGAUCAGCCUGACUAUUCCUGACCAAAUACUAUUAAAUGUAAAGAAGUUCAUCCAGUGCAGUGGAUGCCCCUUAAGAACCAGAAACCGACCAUUUCUGACCUACAGAGAGUACUUAGGAGGGACCCCGGGGACCCAUCUCACCAAGGCUAGAGUGUAGAUUUCUGUUUGUGCCCAAUGAUGUGGUCUUUCCUUGUCUUCCUUUUGACUGUUUUUAAAUUACUUUAGAUAAUUCUUCUGUGCAAUGUUUAUAACCCUUCCUAGUCUUCUGAUGUUCAGUUAACACAGCCAGCACCCAAUGGGGACCUGUUAGGAAAAGAAAUCAGUGCUUAAUGUGGUUAGCAGGAAACUUUCCCAAGUUGUCGGUUACUGGGUUUGUUCCCGAAUCAUAAAGCCAAGUCUCUUCUCAGAUGUUCAGGUGCCAGGUUUUACUAAUACCAGUGCCCCUUGUCCUGCUGACCCAUGACUUUUAUUCCAGGUAAAUCUUGUGCAAAGAAGCUGCCGUUGUUGCAGCUGGUAGUCUCCAUCAUUCAAGCUGUCCCUGGAGAGUCUAGGUGCUGUGGUACGGAGAACUGGUGGGCCAUGACCAUCUUCCUUGGCUUUCAGUGCACCUUUUAUUGAAGGGUAGCUGUGAACAGUGUAAAACAUGACUGAUCUCAUUCUUUUCCCAGGGUUUUGAGCUGUGAACCCGUGUGUCCCAGCACUGGCCUGUCCUUUUAUUUUGGUUCAGUUUUCCUCCUACGGAAAUAGCAAAAGCCACAUCUUUACUAUCCUCACAAGCACAGUAUGUGUUGUCACAUGCUGUGAGUGUGGGCUGUGGUGUGUGUUGGUGUGUGUACAUAUGUGUAUAUGUAUAUAUCAUGCAGCAGGCCUGUCAUGCUGCUGUUUGGUGGCAAAACAACAAGUACAAUAAAAGUCGGCUCCAAAAUA